rnacentral:lncRNA from 1 species
AUGAGCCUCACGGGGGACGACCUGUUGCCCCCGUGUCUCCCCCAGCGCUUAGAACAGUGCUCAGCACACACUAAGCGCUUAACAAAUACCACCCUUGAAUGCCAUUUAUUAAAGGGGGAAGGAGGGGAGGGGGGAGAGGAGGCGGAGGACCGGCUGGGCCUCUCAGCCCCACUUCCGGGGAGGCGCCCACGUCACUUCCGGCGUGGCGCCUGCAAGAGAGGCCGUGGGGGGCCGUGCUCGCUCCCGCGUCCCGGCCCCGCCCCACGUCGUCGCCCUGAGCGUGCCCAGCGUGCGCGGCCCCGCGGGCGUGAGGGCGAAGGGGCAGGGAGCCAACCGGGGAGGCCCGGCCCUCCCUCCCUCCCGCCCCCCGCUCGCCCCCCGCCGAGGGCGGGGCCCGCGCCCACCACAGGGAACCGUCCGCACCGGGACCCGACCCAGGAGGAAGACGACGACGACGCCGACGACGAGGAGGAGGCAGAGGAGGAGGAAGGGGCAGCGGCAGCCCGGAGCGUCUCCGCCCCGACCCAUCGCGUCAGGAAGGCCGCCAUCCCCCCCUCCCCCCUCCGUCCGUGUCCGGACGCCUCAGCCGCUAGGCCCGGGCCGCCGGCGGGGGAAGGGCGGGGGAGGUCAGGCCCGGGCCACGGACUGAGGAGAAGGGCGAAGAAGGAACGACGACGACGACGACGACGACGAGGAGGAGGAGGAGGCGCUGCUUCCGCGUCGGCCCGCCCGGAUCCGGACAGGCCGCGGGCGGCGGGAGAAGAGAGGCCGCCGUGCGCCGCCCCGGCCCGGCUCCAUCGUCGCCUGGAGGAGGAGGAGGAGGAGGAGAGGAGGAGGAGGAGGAGGACUGAAGAGGAGGAGAGAGCGCGGGCCCCGGCCGGUCCCGGGCGGAGGACAUGGCCCCGCUGUGAGGCGGGCGCCGGCGACCGCCCCGAUGCCGAGCAGCUCGGACAGCGCGCUGGGGGGGGGCGGGGGCGGGGGCGGGGGCGGGGGCCUGAGCUGGGCCGAGAAGAAGCUGGAGGAGCGCCGCAAGCGGAGGCGCUUCCUCUCCCCGCAGCAGCCGCCGCUCCUGCUGCCGCUCCUGCAGCCGCAGCUCCUGCCGCCCCCGGGGGUGGGCGGGGGGGUGGCGGGGCCUCCGCCCGGAGGCGGCGGCGGAGGAGGAGCGGGAGCGGGAGCGGGUUGAGGAGGGGGGGGUGGGCCUCCGCCGCCGCCGCCGCCGCUGCUGUUCCUCACGGCCCCCGGCGCGGCCGCCGCCGCCGCCGCAGCCGCCGCCGCCGCCGCCGCCUCCUCCUCCUGCUUCAGCCCCGGGCCCCCGCUGGAGGUGAAGCGGCUGGCCAGGGGGAAGAGGCGCGCGGGGGGCCGGCAGAAGCGGCGCCGCGGGGCCCGCGCCGGGCAGGAGGCCGACAAGCGCCGGGCCUUUUCGCUGCCGCCGCCGCCGCCCCCCCCGCCGCCGCCGCCGCCCCCCCCGCCCCCGCCCCCGCCCCCGCCGCCGCCGCCGCCGCCCAAGCAGCAGCAGCAGCGGCGGCAGGCCGGAGGCGGGGGCGGCGGGGGCGGCGGCGCGGGCGGAGGGGGCGGCGGCCCCGGGAGCAGCGGCGGCGGGCUCAGCCCUCCCGGCGGCUACGAGGACGCCGCCGCCGCCGCCGCUGCCGCUUCCCCGUCCGGGGCCGGGUCGGGGCCCGGCAGCCCCGCCUCGUCGUCGGGCGGCCAGCGACGCGGGGACGGGGCGGAGCGGCGGCCCCGCCGGGACCAUCGCAGCGCCGGCGGCCGCGGCAAGGACCGCCACCGCGAGCACCGCCGCAGGGACGGCCAGCGCGGGGGCUCGGACUCGUCCAAGGCCCGCGGCCGACACCCGGCCGCCGACGGCGACGAGCGCAGCGAGCCCGCCCGCUCCUCCUCCUCCUCCUCGGCCGCCCGCAGGAAGAGCGCCUCGGCCGGGAGCGGCGGCCGCAAGGAGCGGGACUCCAAGCCCCGCCGCAGCCGGACUAA